GGCAUAUUCAAAAUGCCAACAGC
rnacentral:piRNA from 1 species